UCUAUCCGUCUUCCUGCUACCGAGUGGAGUCAGAGAAGACUCAGGCCAAGACAGGGGCAGACGCUGCGGCCGGAACCAAGAUGAGAGACGGCAGUAGCAGUACUAGGGCAGCUGCUCCAGCCAGAGCAGAAGGGAGCGACACCAGAAGGGAGAAACAGCUGAAGGAGAGAGAUCGAGCUCUGGCAAAUCAGAUGGAGCAGAUCUUGAGCACGCUGAAGCAGGUCACUGAGCAGCUGGGAUCUGUGCAGGCUGAGCUCAAAAGCUCCCAAGGCACCUGCUACGCUGGCAGCUCACAGAGAGGAGAGCUCAUAGGAGCGGCCGCUCGGACACAGGGCACCAGGGAAGGAGUCUGAGCCACGGGAGCCAGGCACAGGUGAACGUGGAACCACAGCUGCCGUGGACUCUCCCUGGACGCCCUCAGCUCUCUCACAGAAUGCACAUGAAGUGGAGGAUCCCUCCUUUGGGGGAUAGACGGCCCAAGAUAAAACCUGCGAAGAAGAAUUAUUAGGAGGGAUUGAAUUGGUGUAAUUAUCUAUUCUACAUUUUUAGAAAAUGUUAUUACAGUGUUGCAUAGGGGUAUCAGAUUUUAGCAUCUAUUGUUAAAGACAAACCAUUAGAGAUUGUGUCAGAUAAAAUUGUUAUACAGAGAUAAGAAUUAUUAAAUUAUUAAACAGAUGACAGGCUGUGGAAAUUCCUUCUCUGCGCCAAUCUCCCGUGCUUUCC